rnacentral:rRNA from 1 species
GACGAACGCUGGCGGCGUGCUUAACACAUGCAAGUCGAACGGAAAGGCCUCGUUCUGGGGGUGCGCUAGUGGCGAACGGGGGAGUAACACGUGAGUAUCCUGCCCUUUUCUUUGGGGUAACUCCAGGAAACACUGGGUAAUACCGCGUAUGAGCUCCUCCUGCGUGGGGGGGGGUGUGGAGUUUCGGGGGUUGGGGAUGGACUCGCGGCUUAUCAGCUUUUUGGUGGGGUGGUGGCUUAUCAAGGGUUUUGCGGGUAGCCGGGCUGGGAGGGUGAACGGGCAAAUUGGGAACGGGAUACGGCCCAGAAUCCUAAGGGGGGCAACAGUGGGGAAUAUUGCACAAUGGGGGGAAGCCUGAUGCAGGAACGCCGUGUGGGGGAUGACGGGCUUCGGGUUGUAAACCGCUUUCGGCCAUGAAGAAGCUGUGUGUGACGGUAGUGGGUAAAGAAGCACCGGCUAACUACGUG